rnacentral:rRNA from 1 species
GGGCGUAAGCGCGCGUAGGUGGCUUGAUAAGCCGGUUGUGAAAGCCCCGGGCUCAACCUGGGAACGGCAUCCGGAACUGUCAAGCUAGAGUGCAGGAGAGGAAGGUAGAAUUCCCGGUGUAGCGGUGAAAUGCGUAGAGAUCGGGAGGAAUACCAGUGGCGAAGGCGGCCUUCUGGACUGACACUGACACUGAGGUGCGAAAGCGUGGGUAGCAAACAGGAUUAGAUACCCUGGUAGUCCACGCCGUAAACGAUGUCGACCAGCCGUUGGGUGCCUAGCGCACUUUGUGGCGAAGUUAACGCGAUAAGUCGACCGCCUGGGGAGUACGGCCGCAAGGUUAAAACUCAAAUGAAUUGACGGGGGCCCGCACAAGCGGUGGAGCAUGUGGUUUAAUUCGAUGCAACGCGAAGAACCUUACCUACUCUUGACAUCCUGCGAAUUUGGUAGAGAUACCUUAGUGCCUUCGGGAACGCAGAGACAGGUGCUGCAUGGCUGUCGUCAGCUCGUGUUGUGAAAUGUUGGGUUAAGUCCCGUAACGAGCGCAACCCUUGUCCUUAUUUGCCAGCGCGUAAUGGCGGGAACUCUAAGGAGACUGCCGGUGACAAACCGGAGGAAGGUGGGGACGACGUCAAGUCAUCAUGGCCCUUACGAGUAGGGCUACACACGUGCUACAAUGGUCGGUACAAAGGGUUGCCAACUCGCGAGAGUGAGCUAAUCCCGAAAAGCCGAUCUCAGUCCGGAUCGGAGUCUGCAACUCGACUCCGUGAAGUCGGAAUCGCUAGUAAUCGUGGAUCAGAAUGCCACGGUGAAUACGUUCCCGGGCCUUGUACACACCGCCCGUCACACCAUGGGAGUGGACUGCACCAGAAGUGGUUAGCCUAACGCA